GGAACGUGUGACGCUACAGGCUGUGCGGAGGCACAAAAGCCCAACAGGAAAACACGUGGGGGCGGGCACACAGGAGGCCCCGAGUGUGAGUUCUGAGCAGUAGUCUGGGAGCAGGAAGAGCACAGUGGACGCCCUGGCUGUCUAUGGAAGAAGGCUCAGCUCAAGGAAAGACGCUAGCGCCCUCUAGGCUCCUGGGUUUGCUUAGACUUCCCUUCACUGCUGUGACCAUGUGCACCUGUCUAGGAUGCAAAGACCAAGGAGCAAUCCUGUGGCCAGCAGGUGGAGAGAGGCAGAAAAGAUGUAAGGAGGUCAGGUUACUCUUACCGUCCAUCCAGAUAACCUGGAAGAGCAGUGCCCAGGAGCAAGAGCCUGCCAGCGACUGGGGAAAUCAGAGUGUUACCAAAUCACUCACACCAAAUCCUCUGCUAGACACAGCUUGAGGACACUGCUUGGGGCACAGGAACAACAGACAAUGGGAGCAGGACAGUCGCUUCAGGUGCUUUUAUUAGAUUUCACUGCGAGCUGGGAUCGAGGUAAGGCUAGUCCACACCCAGCCAACACACCUGCGAGCCCAAAGCAGAGCCGAAGCGGGAGCACCCGAGUCCCAGGAGCAGGCUGGUCAGAGGCAGCCAGAGACAGACCCCACCCCCGGGCCUGGAGGGACGUCAGGCCGUGGGGCCAGGUGGCACAAGAGGGCAUGAGGUGGGGCGGGGCCACCCCAUGCAGAGCAAGAUGGCUGGGCUGCCCAGGCCAGAACCCUCACAGGGAUCACCCCAGGCUGGUAACAUUAGCUUGACUCUCUUUGGACAAUAAAAUAAAGUGCAUUACUGAACAAAGAGCAACUCAAAACCAUAAGCAAAGAAACACAACACUUUUUCUUUAGCUAAAAGCUGAAGACAUGAAUUAAUGGAGAUGCCAGAAUUUCAGA